rnacentral:rRNA from 1 species
GACGAACGCUGGCGGCGUGCCUAAUACAUGCAAGUAGAACGCUGAAGAGAGGAGCUUGCUCUUCUUGGAUGAGUUGCGAACGGGUGAGUAACGCGUAGGUAACCUGCCUUGUAGCGGGGGAUAACUAUUGGAAACGAUAGCUAAUACCGCAUAACAAUGGAUGACACAUGUCAUUUAUUUGAAAGGGGCAAUUGCUCCACUACAAGAUGGACCUGCGUUGUAUUAGCUAGUAGGUGAGGUAACGGCUCACCUAGGCGACGAUACAUAGCCGACCUGAGAGGGUGAUCGGCCACACUGGGACUGAGACACGGCCCAGACUCCUACGGGAGGCAGCAGUAGGGAAUCUUCGGCAAUGGGGGCAACCCUGACCGAGCAACGCCGCGUGAGUGAAGAAGGUUUUCGGAUCGUAAAGCUCUGUUGUAAGUCAAGAACGAGUGUGAGAGUGGAAAGUUCACACUGUGACGGUGGCUUACCAGAAAGGGACGGCUAACUACGUG